GGCUUGGUGGUGUAGUUGGUUAUCACGUUCGCCUCACACGCGAAAGGUCCCGAGUUCGAACCUCGGCCGAGUCA
rnacentral:tRNA from 1 species